GCAAACUUGGUCAUUUAGAGGAAGUAAAAGUCGUAACAAGGUUUCCGUAGGUGAACCUGCGGAAGGAUCAUUACAAAUCGAGGAGGCUGGUUGGGGGAAGGGGGUGGUUGGUGUGUGCUCUUUGGUCGCUAGGCCGUUGGGUCCGCACCGACUCGCUCCACCUUUCCCUCCACUCUGCAUCCACAUUUGCGCUUGUUGUGUUUGACAGAGUAACUGUGCCAAAUAGUCAAUGACAACUUUUAACAAUGGAUCUCUUGGCUCUUGCAUCGAUGAAGAACGCAGC
rnacentral:misc_RNA from 1 species